CAGGUAUAAAAUAUUUUGCAAGGCAGCUUACGCACAGUUGAAAGCAAGCACCCAGUCAGACUUCACGGCAAAAAGAUGGGCAGAAGCGCUCGAAGCUGCUAUUUCUGCAGUUAGUAAAUAUGGGGGAGCUAGUGCCGGCUAUCGCACUUUGUUAGAUGCGCUUAUUCCAGCAUCAGUAGUUCUCAAGGAGAGGUUAGACGCGGGUGAUGACCCUGUUACUGCAGUUCUUCUCUCUUCUGAAGCAGCAUUGGCCGGAGCUGAGUCAACUCAACACAUGCAAG